rnacentral:rRNA from 1 species
ACCAUGCAAGUCGAACGGUAGCACAGAAGAGCUUGCUCUCGGGUGACGAGUGGCGGACGGGUGAGUAAUGUCUGGGAAACUGCCUGAUGGAGGGGGAUAACUACUGGAAACGGUAGCUAAUACCGCAUAACGUCGCAAGACCAAAGAGGGGGACCUUCGGGCCUCUUGCCAUCAGAUGUGCCCAGAUGGGAUUAGCUAGUAGGUGGGGUAACGGCUCACCUAGGCGACGAUCCCUAGCUGGUCUGAGAGGAUGACCAGCCACACUGGAACUGAGACACGGUCCAGACUCCUACGGGAGGCAGCAGUGGGGAAUAUUGCACAAUGGGCGCAAGCCUGAUGCAGCCAUGCCGCGUGUAUGAAGAAGGCCUUCGGGUUGUAAAGUACUUUCAGCGGGGAGGAAGGUGUUGUGGUUAAUAACCACAGCAAUUGACGUUACCCGCAGAAGAAGCACCGGCUAACUCCGUGCCAGCAGCCGCGGUAAUACGGAGGGUGCAAGCGUUAAUCGGAAUUACUGGGCGUAAAGCGCACGCAGGCGGUCUGUCAAGUCGGAUGUGAAAUCCCCGGGCUCAACCUGGGAACUGCAUUCGAAACUGGCAGGCUGGAGUCUUGUAGAGGGGGGUAGAAUUCCAGGUGUAGCGGUGAAAUGCGUAGAGAUCUGGAGGAAUACCGGUGGCGAAGGCGGCCCCCUGGACAAAGACUGACGCUCAGGUGCGAAAGCGUGGGGAGCAAACAGGAUUACAUACCCUGGUAGUCCACGCCGUAAACGAUGUCGAUUUGAAGGUUGUGCCCUUGAGGCGUGGCUUCCGGAGCUAACGCGUUAAAUCGACCGCCUGGGGAGUACGGCCGCAAGGUUAAAACUCAAAUGAAUUGACGGGGGGCCCGCACAAGCGGGGGAACAUGGUGGUUUAAUUUCA